UUUGCAAACCUAAUGAGGAGCAUGUUUUGAUAGUAAUUGAUCGGGAAGUAUCGGGAUGGAUAGCAAAAUGUCACACUUUUUACACAAACUUCGACAAGUACAGGGGUUUCACCACCAAAGAAAACGAAACUUUUAUCCCGAUAUCUAAGCAGGAGGCAGAUUCCCGAUUUUCGGAAUGGUUAUCGGGAUCGUAAUUGGAUGACACCCAUGCAUAUUGCCGUCCAAUAGCGAUUAUAUGGUAGACUAUGGUGGAAUGAAUGAUGUAACAAAGCACAUGAAAACAGCCAUCCAUUAAGCCAGCAUCAAAUCCCAGAAAUCACCACCUGCUGCUACCAACUUCUUUGUGAAAUCAAAAUUGGAGCAAGAUAAAGAUGACAUGAGAGCAGAGGUCCUGUUUGCCAACUGUGUUGCAGAACUUGGUGCUUUUUGUGCUGCUAUACCAUACUAUUUAUUGUUUGUUGAGAUUUUAAAUUAUUGAUUUAAUAUAUGAAAAUAAAGUUAUGUACUUU
rnacentral:sRNA from 1 species